GUAGGUGGCAAGCGUUGUCCGGAACUAUUGGGCGUAAAGCGCGCGCAGGCGGUCCUUUAAGUCUGAUGUGAAAGCCCACGGCUCAACCGUGGAGGGUCAUUGGAAACUGGGGGACUUGAGUACAGAAGAGGAAAGCGGAAUUCCAAGUGUAGCGGUGAAAUGCGUAGAGAUUUGGAGGAACACCAGUGGCGAAGGCGGCUUUCUGGUCUGUAACUGACGCUGAGGCGCGAAAGCGUGGGGAGCAAACAGGAUUAGAUACCCUGGUAGUCCACGCCGUAAACGAUGAGUGCUAAGUGUUAGGGGGUUUCCCGCCCCCCUUAGUGCUGCAGCUAACGCAUUAAGCACUCCGCCUGGGGAGUACGGCCCGCAAGGCUG
rnacentral:rRNA from 1 species